rnacentral:rRNA from 1 species
GGCGUGGAAAGACGCGCGUGCUCUUUCCUACUUGGGUAGGACUCGGCCUCAUGAGGCUCGUCACGCGGGGAAGGGGGCAAGAGGAGGUGGUACGGACCCGAGGCGGAGGAAGCGGGCGUAGGAGGAGGAGGGGAGAGAGAGAGAAGACGUGGUAGUAGGAGGAGGGAGCAACGACCUGGGCCGGGACGAAGCGGAGGAGGCGGUCGGAGAAGGAGGAACAGCAGCUACCAUCGCCACACUUGCCCCCGUCGCUGGCACUAAUCUACACUACUCAACUGGUUCGACCAAGGUGCGACUCCUUGCCUGGGGGAGCUGCGGUAGGAGACACCGUGAUGAGACGAGGGAGGCAAGCAGUCAAACACUAGAGAAGGCGUAAGGGGAAAGGUCCUCAAGAACGGAAGUUGCGACUCUUCAUAAACUAUAUAGGACCCAUACCUACUAACUAAAUAAACGUCUUACAGUGUCUUUAACACUUAGAGCCAAAUCUUCUUAGUUGUGCUUACGACUUUGUAACUAAAAAAACUUCCAUAAAAAAGGACAAGGGUUCGUAAAAGGAGUACAAACGAAGAUUUUGCAACGAAUCGUUCGUAAUAUACUAAGUACCUUAAUUGAAUCGUUCCUAUUACAUAGUCAAAUUGAAAACAUUUCUUCGUCUGCUCGUCACGUCACUGGGAUGUAAUUUUAAUACUCUAUACAGUAUUAAGGCUGUUGACAAAGUAUAUCCUUUAUAUUCUAUGCGUAUCUCUUCUCGAGUUUGACCUGUAAGAAAAGAAAAUCAAAAAUCUUAGGAACCGUCUCCCACAAUAUAUAAAGGUAUUUUUUUAGUCGCUGUCUCUAAAUUUACAUCAUUGUACACAAAUACGAAAUUUCAGGCCACAGCUUGUCAUGGGUACUAUUUCGAUGUGCCAACCUACGAUAACUAGUGCAUUCCACUCGAAUAUACUGAACCAAAUUGGAAAAAUCUAAUACAAUGGCUUAUAAUCCUCUUGAAAAACUAUACACACAAACAUCUUAAACGACUACAAACAACGUUUUAUAACCACCGAUCCGUGAUACGAGGUGUAUGCGUUUCAAAAGUCAAAGAUAAAAGUAGUAACGUGGUCGGAAAAGACAUGGUUGUUACACUGCGACGUGAUGAUAUCUAAAAGUGUUCGGUACCUUUUUAUUUAUUAAACUGUUAGCUAUCGGAGGUCAGAUGUUAACAUUAAAACACGCGUGAAACCUCGAUAACCUACGGACUUACAUAGCGCAAGGAAACCACUAGCAACACAACACAAGUUUUAACAUCGAACUCUCCUCCUUUUAUUAAUUUAUCGUCCAACAUGUCUCAACGAUGGUAUGGUAAAGAAACACUGACGUACCAGAGUGGCAGUUAAAAGAUUUUCAUAUAAUCGUAGAACAAGAACCUUCUUGUCUAAAAGCAAUACAUGUCCUCCAGAUUGGUCCGUACAUCAAAAAAAUCAGGAAACAAGGAAACGAACUAAACCGCGCACCGCACCCGUAGACAAAGUUCAACCCGCCGUAUGUUAGGUACGUUCCCAUGAAUCAACGACAUACAUACCGUCGACGUCGUAGAACGGUUAAUCAGGGGUGAUUUUAAUUAAAUAGAGAGGUGGAAAAACCGAGUACUUAUAGCUACGCUCAUGACAUCCAUGGAUUUACGAUCUCUAAUGGUGGGAACUCAUCCAAAGAGAUUUGUCUGUUAUAUACCACCAAUAAAGACGAUGACAUCCAAAAAGGUACCAAGAUUAACACAUAUACCGUAUAACCGCAAGAGUCUCAACACCAAGAUCUAAACGAGCCACGAGAUAUCUAGAUAAUAAACUUCUUGAUUACUAUAUGUGACUCAAUGGAGCGUGGUAGUAAAUAGGAAAGUUGACGAACUAAACCUAAAAAAAAUUACAAUAGUUUAUCACAGGGACACAGAAUUGUUCGGUGGGUAAACAGCAGACAUACACAACAGUAAGCGUUUCAACAACAGACUACUUCUGUCAAACAACCAGUUCCAGUGGGUUUAACUCAUACCAGAGAAAAUACAGUAACGAGACGGUCUCACGUUAAAAGUAACGUACCGUAUGUGGUCAAUGGCUAUCAACUAUACAAACAACUUCAAGGUAAUGUUCAAUUUAUUUACACAUCACACUAUAUGACUAAGAAUAUCAAACUAUUACAAUACGCACCUACCGGAAUCUAUACAUUUAUUUUUGUGGAAAUUCUUUUGAUUCGUAAGUUAAUAACAAGACAACACAAUAACUAAAGUGGCCAAAAUACAGUUGGCUAAUCAAGACUUCCUAAGGUGUAGCCCAUUAAAUCUAAUACAAUGAUCUCAUAAUCUUCUUGAAGGACUAUAUACAUAAAUCUCGUAAACGAUUCUAAACUACGUUUUAUAACUACCAGUACGUAAUAUGACGCGUAUUUAUGUUAAAAAGUCAAAAAUAAAAACAACAACGUCGUCAAAAACAUAUCGCUAUCGGUUAUCACACUGUAGUGUGAUGAGGUAAAAGUGUCCGGUACGGUGUAGAAAUGUACUAUUCGACUGUGGAUUAUUCCUAGUACUCUUGUUGUUUCUACGAUUCUCCGUUGUAAAACCCCAAUUCCUAUAAUUGUUGUUGUCCCGAAUACUCCGGCUUCUCUCGAUCUCACCACAGAAAACCAAGAACUUCGGAACGGGAAAGGACCACCUCAUCUUCGUUUUAUUAAGUCUCCGAAAUUCCGGGACAAACUAUCAUUUUAUAAAAGAUACAUAAAGCUCUUAUGAAGUCAAAAAGUCUGAUGGUGUUAAAAUAAAUGUUACUCGACAAACCAACGGGA